rnacentral:rRNA from 1 species
GGGUUGUGAGGUUAAGCGACUAAGCGUACACGGUGGAUGCCCUGGCAGUCAGAGGCGAUGAAGGACGUGCUAAUCUGCGAUAAGCGUCGGUAAGGUGAUAUGAACCGUUAUAACCGGCGAUUUCCGAAUGGGGAAACCCAGUGUGAUUCGUCACACUAUCAUUAACUGAAUCCAUAGGUUAAUGAGGCGAACCGGGGGAACUGAAACAUCUAAGUACCCCGAGGAAAAGAAAUCAACCGAGAUUCCCCCAGUAGCGGCGAGCGAACGGGGAGCAGCCCAGAGCCUGAAUCAGUGUGUGUGUUAGUGGAAGCGUCUGGAAAGGCGCGCGAUACAGGGUGACAGCCCCGUACACAAAAAUGCACAUGCUGUGAGCUCGAUGAGUAGGGCGGGACACGUGGUAUCCUGUCUGAAUAUGGGGGGACCAUCCUCCAAGGCUAAAUACUCCUGACUGACCGAUAGUGAACCAGUACCGUGAGGGAAAGGCGAAAAGAACCCCGGCGAGGGGAGUGAAAAAGAACCUGAAACCGUGUACGUACAAGCAGUGGGAGCACGCUUAGGCGUGUGACUGCGUACCUUUUGUAUAAUGGGUCAGCGACUUAUAUUCUGUAGCAAGGUUAACCGAAUAGGGGAGCCGAAGGGAAACCGAGUCUUAACUGGGCGUUAAGUUGCAGGGUAUAGACCCGAAACCCGGUGAUCUAGCCAUGGGCAGGUUGAAGGUUGGGUAACACUAACUGGAGGACCGAACCGACUAAUGUUGAAAAAUUAGCGGAUGACUUGUGGCUGGGGGUGAAAGGCCAAUCAAACCGGGAGAUAGCUGGUUCUCCCCGAAAGCUAUUUAGGUAGCGCCUCGUGAAUUCAUCUCCGGGGGUAGAGCACUGUUUCGGCAAGGGGGUCAUCCCGACUUACCAACCCGAUGCAAACUGCGAAUACCGGAGAAUGUUAUCACGGGAGACACACGGCGGGUGCUAACGUCCGUCGUGAAGAGGGAAACAACCCAGACCGCCAGCUAAGGUCCCAAAGUCAUGGUUAAGUGGGAAACGAUGUGGGAAGGCCCAGACAGCCAGGAUGUUGGCUUAGAAGCAGCCAUCAUUUAAAGAAAGCGUAAUAGCUCACUGGUCGAGUCGGCCUGCGCGGAAGAUGUAACGGGGCUAAACCAUGCACCGAAGCUGCGGCAGCGACGCUUAUGCGUUGUUGGGUAGGGGAGCGUUCUGUAAGCCUGUGAAGGUGUGCUGUGAGGCAUGCUGGAGGUAUCAGAAGUGCGAAUGCUGACAUAAGUAACGAUAAAGCGGGUGAAAAGCCCGCUCGCCGGAAGACCAAGGGUUCCUGUCCAACGUUAAUCGGGGCAGGGUGAGUCGACCCCUAAGGCGAGGCCGAAAGGCGUAGUCGAUGGGAAACAGGUUAAUAUUCCUGUACUUGGUGUUACUGCGAAGGGGGGACGGAGAAGGCUAUGUUGGCCGGGCGACGGUUGUCCCGGUUUAAGCGUGUAGGCUGGUUUUCCAGGCAAAUCCGGAAAAUCAAGGCUGAGGCGUGAUGACGAGGCACUACGGUGCUGAAGCAACAAAUGCCCUGCUUCCAGGAAAAGCCUCUAAGCAUCAGGUAACAUCAAAUCGUACCCCAAACCGACACAGGUGGUCAGGUAGAGAAUACCAAGGCGCUUGAGAGAACUCGGGUGAAGGAACUAGGCAAAAUGGUGCCGUAACUUCGGGAGAAGGCACGCUGAUAUGUAGGUGAAGCGACUUGCUCGUGGAGCUGAAAUCAGUCGAAGAUACCAGCUGGCUGCAACUGUUUAUUAAAAACACAGCACUGUGCAAACACGAAAGUGGACGUAUACGGUGUGACGCCUGCCCGGUGCCGGAAGGUUAAUUGAUGGGGUUAGCGCAAGCGAAGCUCUUGAUCGAAGCCCCGGUAAACGGCGGCCGUAACUAUAACGGUCCUAAGGUAGCGAAAUUCCUUGUCGGGUAAGUUCCGACCUGCACGAAUGGCGUAAUGAUGGCCAGGCUGUCUCCACCCGAGACUCAGUGAAAUUGAACUCGCUGUGAAGAUGCAGUGUACCCGCGGCAAGACGGAAAGACCCCGUGAACCUUUACUAUAGCUUGACACUGAACAUUGAGCCUUGAUGUGUAGGAUAGGUGGGAGGCUUUGAAGUGUGGACGCCAGUCUGCAUGGAGCCGACCUUGAAAUACCACCCUUUAAUGUUUGAUGUUCUAACGUUGACCCGUGAUCCGGGUUGCGGACAGUGUCUGGUGGGUAGUUUGACUGGGGCGGUCUCCUCCUAAAGAGUAACGGAGGAGCACGAAGGUUGGCUAAUCCUGGUCGGACAUCAGGAGGUUAGUGCAAUGGCAUAAGCCAGCUUGACUGCGAGCGUGACGGCGCGAGCAGGUGCGAAAGCAGGUCAUAGUGAUCCGGUGGUUCUGAAUGGAAGGGCCAUCGCUCAACGGAUAAAAGGUACUCCGGGGAUAACAGGCUGAUACCGCCCAAGAGUUCAUAUCGACGGCGGUGUUUGGCACCUCGAUGUCGGCUCAUCACAUCCUGGGGCUGAAGUAGGUCCCAAGGGUAUGGCUGUUCGCCAUUUAAAGUGGUACGCGAGCUGGGUUUAGAACGUCGUGAGACAGUUCGGUCCCUAUCUGCCGUGGGCGCUGGAGAACUGAGGGGGGCUGCUCCUAGUACGAGAGGACCGGAGUGGACGCAUCACUGGUGUUCGGGUUGUCAUGCCAAUGGCACUGCCCGGUAGCUAAAUGCGGAAGAGAUAAGUGCUGAAAGCAUCUAAGCACGAAACUUGCCCCGAGAUGAGUUCUCCCUGACUCCUUGAGAGUCCUGAAGGAACGUUGAAGACGACGACGUUGAUAGGCCGGGUGUGUAAGCGCAGCGAUGCGUUGAGCUAACCGGUACUAAUGAACCGUGAGGCUUAACCUUACAACGCCGAAGGUGUUU